AUGAAGUCCCAAGUCUGAAUAUUUAAACUCUUGCACUACGAGACAAACACUCGACCACUGCACUACUAGCCUAAUGGCUCUCAUAACAAUUGAUGUUAAGUUUGCUUCAUGAUAAACCAUAAUUAAUAAAGAUUAUUAGUUAUAAUAUAAUCUAGCUGAUCAUUAUUUAAAUUCUUACUACAUUAAUUUGACCAGAUUAAAUUCAACAUGACACUCCGAAUUAUGCCUCAGAAUCAACUUUCUCGACCUUGAAACUCUCACGAACAUAAGAAAUGUAGCUUGCUGUCUUCAUGUCCACAUUUUCAUCAACACCAUAGUCAUGGAAGCUUCUCUUCUGAGCAGGGGACACCUUCUGGAUUGUUUGGGUAUGGGGAAAAUCAAAGGAACUAUAAUAUGGUGUAUAUGGGCUAGGACUAACCUUGCUACUAUAUUGCAGUGGCAUAGAACUAGGUUGAGCACUCGACACCCUUUGGAUUGACGGAGGAUUUGCAUGCCUCUGGCGACUAGGGAUGUCCCCGGAGCCAUUUGGGCCACAUGGAUUUGGACUAACCUUGUUGCUGCUGCAAUGCCCUGCCAUACAAGGCUUGGAAUUCACUCUAAGGAAGGUCUUGGCUUUGGCUAACUUGCCUCUGAAGAGCCCUCUUCCCUUGUGGCUUGUGUCCAUUUCUUGGAUAUACACUAAUCAAGAAUGAAGAUAUGCAACAGCUAAACUCAA
rnacentral:misc_RNA from 1 species